GAUGAACGCUAGCGGCAGGCCUAAUACAUGCAAGUCGAACGGCGUCUUCGGACAUAGUGGCGCACGGGUGCGUAACACGUAUGCAACCUACCUUACAUUGGGGGAUAGCCUUUCGAAGGGGAGAUUAAUACCGCAUAAGACAGUAGCUGGGCAUCCAGCAGCUGUUAAAGAUUUAUCGAUGUAAGCUGGGCAUGCGUCCAAUUAGCUAGUUGGUGAGGUAACGGCUCACCAAGGCAAUGAUUGGUAGGGGAACUGAGAGGUCAAUCCCCCACACUGGCACUGAGAUACGGGCCAGGCUCCUACGGGAGGCAGCAGUAGGGAAUAUUGGGCAAUGGACGCAAGUCUGACCCAGCCAUGCCGCGUGCAGGAUGAAGGCGUUAUGCGUUGUAAACUGCUUUUAUACAGGAAGAAACGACUCUUGCGAGAGGCAUUGACGGUACUGUAUGAAUAAGCACCGGCUAACUCCGUGCCAGCAGCCGCCGUAAAAC
rnacentral:rRNA from 1 species